AAUGAAUUGCCUGAAAAAAGGAUUACCUUGAUAGGGUAAAUUAUGUGUGAUUAUUACACAUUCAUUA
rnacentral:tRNA from 1 species